UUGCAGAAAUUCGACAGGGAAGAAAAGCAAGUCACCAGGGACUGUAUCCUUGAUUAGUGGCUGCGAUCCUGCAACACACUUCAUCCUGCCCAAUCCCCAUCGAUGUUGGCAUUUUCCUACUCAAUUGAUGUCCUCAUAUUUUCCCUGCUCCAUCUACACACCAUAUAUUUCCUCAGGUGCUACAAACAAGUUCCAAACUUUAUUGGACAGGGGAAGAAGUAGAAGAAACAAGAAGUAUUAUUAAAAUGAAUGGAGUUAAAAUGGGACAGAGGUGAGAAGAAGGAGCUAGAAAACUUUAAAUAAAAUGCACCUACAGCUAAGGAAAUAGACAAGCCUUUCUGAUGGCUCUCAUGGCUCUGCGUUUACAUACUACAGAUUCCUCCUGGAUGAAACAGAAGCCGGGCUGCUGAUGCAGCUGGAGGAGGAAGCGAGAGGUUCCAACGGCAUGACUCCUUGGCAUUUCACACAUCCAUAGAAAUAACCCAUCUAUGAUUUCCACAAGACAAUUUUUUCUUAGUCCCCACUUUUCAGUGUAUGCUCAAACACAAUGCAGAAUCCCAAGAAACUGUGAAACUUUUCUGAGAAAAUGUUCUGAUUUGAAUUAGUUAGCUGUAUUCUGCAUUCAGCACAUUUACAAGCUUUGAAAUAUCGGACAUUGGCAAGCAAGCACUAACAUUUUAUAAGUAGCAGUUUGCAUCCAGGUUUGAGGUAAUGUAAUCCAACAUGCACGAGAACACAGUCUAGGUCCCCUUCUCCCUUCUAAGCAUAGCAGAAGGAUUAGGAAUAAUGAAUGGUGUGAAUUUUGCCACCUAGAGGGUUUCAUUUUGAUACCUGUUACACAGUCCUCUUGAGCACUGUGCUCAUUUUUCCUAUUGCUGAGAUAUGGAAAAUAAAACAGUAAUAGGAACGUGCACUGACAACACACCAUGUCAAUGCCCUAAAACGCAAAGUCUUGGAGAGGGUUCCAUAAUGGCUUCAGUAGAAGCAUAGCUCAUUCCCUGCUUUGCUAAUCAAUUUUCUGCAUGCCAUGUUCUCCCCGUUAUACCUCAUCCCUUAGGCUACUCUUGUAGCCCAAGUCAACCACACAGGUGAUAUACACCGGUGGAAUAGGUCAGGGCAAUUUCUUGAGGCACUGGAGGGGGAAAACCUGGGGUCUCUCCUCAGCCCUCCAAUGUGUCCAUAAUGCUCCUCAUGUGCCACAGGCUCCGUGCCACCAUGGAAUUUGAUCUGGAAGUCUAGAGCCCUUUUCAGGGAGUUGUUUAAGCCUUUAGUCCUUGUUUCUUCACUCUUAGUGUAAUUCUGUGUCAUUUUAGAGCCAGAAACACUGUUGUAACAGUCAAAUGUAGUAAUUAAGACUGUAGUAUCAGAUCACUGGCUUUUCAAUCUUUUUCUAAAAGGCUCUAUGAUCUCAGGCAAAUUUACUGAACUCUUCUUGCUGUAAUAUGGGGAGACAGUGGCCCUCACUUCAUAGAUUGUAGUGAGAUUAAAUAAGUUAAUAUAUGUAAAGCUUUAAUAAAGUACUUAGCAAAUAGUAUAUACAGUACUAUGCAAGUUUUAGCUAUAAAAUGACAAUAACAUUUCACAUAAAAAGGUUACUAUUAAUUGUUACUACCAUUUCCUAAUUAUUGAUUUAUGUAAUAAGCUAUGCCCCAAACCUACCAGGUUUAACUCUUGGUAUUCAGUGUGAACUGAAUUAUAUUCCCCUCAAAUUCAUUUAUUGAAACACUAAUGUGCUGGCAUUAGAAGGCAAGGCAUUUGGGAGGUAAUUAGGUCAUGAAGGUAGAAUCCUCAUGAUGGGAUUAAUGCCCUUAUUAGAACAGACUGAAGAGAAAUUUUACUCUGCCAUGAGAGACACAUAAAAAAAAAAAAAAAAGAUGAAGUCUACAAGCCAGGAAGCAAGCUCCCACCAAGAACUGAAUCAGCCAGCACCUUGUUCUUGAAUUUCCCAGCCUCCAGAACUGUGAGAAAUAAAUAUUAGUAGUUCAAGUCACCCAGACGGUGAUAUUUUUUGAUAUUUUGUGACAGCAGCCCAUACAAACCAAGGCUAUCUUCAAGCAAACAAUUUAGAAGUUCACAAUUUUUUUUCUGUCAAAUAUGUGGUGUUCGCAAAUUGAAAGCAUCUUGGAUUUCAGGUUAGUAUCCCUAGUACAUAUUUUAAAACUUAUUUAGAGAUUCAAUUGACUUAUUUUAUUUGAGUCUAUGUCCACCUUUCUCCUGAGGCAGAGAAUGCCUCUGCCACAGGUCUCAAAAUCCUCUGGUUAACACAAAAAUUACAGAAAAUGCAAAAUUCCAGCCUAGGAAUUAAACACUCUCAUGUGUAAAUUUGUGUAAUGUAGAAGUUUAAUAGCAAAGAAAGAGAAAUUGUUAUACCUAUCAAUCAAGCAGGAGCUUCUCCUUAAAAUCUUUCAACAUGAAUCACAUGGCUUAGCAGGGGUAAAAUAUUUUAGGAGCCUCCUCCUAGAGGAUCUCACUCAAUCUUACUCCCUUGUAGAACAGGCGAUAUCUUCACCAUGCGCACAAUGAAAUCAAUACUCAGAGAAGGCAGAUAAUUCUCCACGAAGCCAGAAAACUAAUAAAUGAACAACUUGGGUGAAAUGUCCCACCAGACGGUGUGAUAUUUAGUAGCCCAGAAAGCUGCCAAGGGGUUGAAUGACACUAUCUGAAGAUAUGAACCAGUUUGCUCUCCAUAGGGAGGAUUUCAUCAACAGGAAACAGAUGCCUGGAAGGCAUUGGAUUUGCUAAGUGUCUAUGCCAUAUGAUUCUGCUGUUUGCGUUUGAUUUAGAAUGCUGAGCUGACUCAAAGUCAAACUGAGUUUGCAGACCCGUUUUGGAGAUGAGGAACAAAUACAUGUAAAAUUAACUAUGAUAUGAAAGUGACAUAAUAUUGUAUAAGAGAGAAUAGAAAGGUCACAGGUAGAACAUGAUAUUCCAUAAACACUUUGCUGUUGGAAAAUGGGGACAUUGGGACUACCAUGGUACACGGUAUGGGUUGAAUUGUGUUCCACUCCUCAAAUGUACAUGUUGAAGUCCUAACCCUGAGAAACUCACAAUGUGACCGUAUUUGGAGAUAGAGCCUUUAGAGAAGUAAUUAAGGUGAAAUGAAGUCAUUUGGGUGAACCAUCAUUUAAUCUGACUGAUAUCUUUAUAAGAACAGAAAAUCGACACAGGCACUCAUAGAAGAACAUCAUGUGAACUGAAUACAAUCAUCUGUAAGCCAACAGUAGAGGUCUUGGAAGAAACCAACCCAGACAACACUUUGAUCUUGGACUUUCAGCUUCCAGGAUUGGGAGAACAUGAGUUUCUGUGGUGUAAGCCAUAUCGUCUGUGGUGCUUUUUAUGGCAGCCCGAACCAGCAGUACAAAUAAAUACAAGUUUUAUUCGUGGGAAAAGUCAGCAGCAGAGAAGCAACAGUGCAUUCAUUAUCCUGUGAACUUGCAUUUUCCUGCAGCGCUGUUCUUAGGAGAGUCAUAGCCAAUUGGAUGCACCAUAGAAAGGAUUCUGAUAAUGGGACCCCACACUCUGUUGCAACUCUGUGGCAAUGAGGCCUUUCUGGGUCCCAGUGCCCAGUGGCCAAUUUCAUCUAGUUCUGUCAAGCUCACUCCGGCCUCCAAACAAACUCUUGGCUCUUUGUCUCUUCUUACCUGUGUAUGACAAGACCAUCAGAUUGGCCAGCUGACCACCAAUGAAACACAGAUUCUAUGGUCUAAUUAAUAAACAGAUUUGCAGGUGCUUAAGUGUACUUGUCAAAAGAGUGGCUAUUCUUAUUUUUAAGAUAAUGACAACAAUAUUUGCUUGUAAAUUAUAAUUUAUAAAUUGGAGUAUGAAGAAAUUUCUAGCCUCUUUUACCAAAAAAAGCUACAUAUAUAUGAGUCACCAAUUUGACUGGUUAAAUAUAUCUUGUAUUUAUAACUCACCUGCAAGUCAUGUACCUGCAAAGGCAAAAGAGAAAUGUGGGUAAUACGGUUACUUUAUGUCUAUCCUAUUGACUCCAAUGACCAGCCAAGGUCACUCAAGAGACCACCUAAUUUGAGGAGGAUAAAGAGCUGGGGGUCACUUGGUAAUUCAGCUAUAUUGGCAUCUAAUCUAAGGGGAGACUGGAAACCUAGUUUUGCACUUGCACGUUACUGAAUAAGUAGGUCAGCAUCUGCCCUGGCUUGGCAUUUUACAAUCUGUUGGCCAGGCACUCCCACGCAGCUUAGGUCUUCACUUGCCAGCUGGUUUGGGUUUCACAAUUACUUGCUUUUUCAGCAAUGCGGGUUAUGCAGUCCUGGAUAACUGUGAAAAAACUGCCUGAACCUGUGGAGUUUUUCCACUGGAAACUUCUGAACUUGGCAUA
rnacentral:lncRNA from 10 species